rnacentral:rRNA from 1 species
GAUGAACGCUAGCGGCAGGCCUAAUACAUGCAAGUCGAACGGUGUCUUCGGACAUAGUGGCGCACGGGUGCGUAACACGUAUGCAACCUACCUUACAUUGGGGGAUAGCCUUUCGAAAGGGAGAUUAAUACCGCAUAAGACGGUAGCUGGGCAUCCAGCAGCUGUUAAAGAUUUAUCGAUGUAAGCUGGGCAUGCGUCCAAUUAGCUAGUUGGUGAGGUAACGGCUCACCAAGGCAAUGAUUGGUAGGGGAACUGAGAGGUCAAUCCCCCACACUGGCACUGAGAUACGGGCCAGACUCCAACGGGAGGCAGCAGUAGGGAAUAUUGGGCAAUGGACGCAAGUCUGACCCAGCCAUGCCGCGUGCAGGAUGAAGGCGUUAUGCGUUGUAAACUGCUGUUAUACAGGAAGAAACGACUCUUGCGAGAGGCAUUGACGGUACUGUAUGAAUAAGCACCGGCUAACUCCGUGCCAGCCGCCGCGGUAAGAC